rnacentral:rRNA from 1 species
UACGUAGGGUGCAAGCGUUAAUCGGAAUUACUGGGCGUAAGCGUGCGCAGGCGGUUUGUAAGUUUGUCGUGAAAGCCCCGGGCUCAACCUGGGAAUUGCGAUGAAGACUGCAAGGCUUGAAUCUGGCAGAGGGGGGUAGAAUUCCACGUGUAGCAGGUGAAAUGCGUAGAGAUGUGGAGGAACACCGAUGGCGAAGGCAGCCCCCUGGGUCAAGAUUGACGCUCAUGCACGAAAGCGUGGGGAGCAAACAGG